rnacentral:misc_RNA from 1 species
CCGAGUGUAAAAACUCCCCAACCCUAUGUGAACCUUACCACUGUUGCUUCGGCGGACCCGCCCCGGGCGCGCAGAAACCCCCCCCCGCCCCCGAGUGAUAUGGGGGCGCGGGGGGGCGCGCGUGCCCCGGACGCAGGCGGCCGCCGGGGGACCCAAACGCUUGCCUUUGUACAGUAUCUCUGAGUCUGAUUUGUCAAAAUCAAAUUA